rnacentral:rRNA from 1 species
UACGGGGGGAGCAAGCGUUGUCCGGAAUCAUUGGGCGUAAAGAGCGUGUAGGCGGCCAGAUAAGUCCGCUGUGAAAACUCGAGGCUCAACUUCGAGCUGUCGGUGGAAACUAUUUGGCUAGAGUCCGGAAGAGGAGAGUGGAAUUCCCGGUGUAGCAGUGAAAUGCGUAGAGAUCGGGAGGAACAUCAGUUGCGAAGGCGGCUCUCUGGACCAGCACUGACACUGAGGCACGAAAGCGUGGGGAGCAAACAGG